rnacentral:rRNA from 1 species
AUUGAACGCUGGCGGCAGGCCUACAACUGCAAGUCGGGGGGAGCGGCGGACGGGUGAGUAAUGGCUUGGAAUCUGGCUGGGAGGGGGGGAUAACGUCCGGAAAAGGGCGCUAAUAACGCCUACUAUCAGAUUAACCUAGGUCGGAUUAGCUAGUUGGUGGGGUAAAGGCCUACCAAGGCGACGAUCCGUAACUGGUCUGAGAGGAUGAUCAGUCACACUGGAACUGAGACACGGUCCAGACUCCUACGGGAGGCAGCAGUGGGGAAUAUUGGACAAUGGGCGAAAGCCUGAUCCAGCCAUGCCGCGUGUGUGAAGAAGGUCUUCGGAUUGUAAAGCACUUUAAGUUGGGAGGCGUUACCAACAGAAUAAGCACCGGCUAACUUCGUGCCAGCCGCCGCGGUAAUAC